rnacentral:rRNA from 1 species
AGAGUUUGAUCAUGGCUCAGAACGAACGCUGGCGGCAGGCCUAACACAUGCAAGUCGAGCGCUCCGCAAGGAGAGCGGCGGACGGGUGAGUAACGCGUGGGAACGUACCCUUUGCUACGGAAUAGCCUCGGGAAACUGGGAGUAAUACCGUAUGUGUCCUUCGGGAGAAAGAUUUAUCGGCAAAGGAUCGGCCCGCGUUGGAUUAGGUAGUUGGUGGGGUAAUGGCCUACCAAGCCGACGAUCCAUAGCUGGUUUGAGAGGAUGAUCAGCCACACUGGGACUGAGACACGGCCCAGACUCCUACGGGAGGCAGCAGUGGGGAAUCUUAGACAAUGGGCGCAAGCCUGAUCUAGCCAUGCCGCGUGAGCGAUGAAGGCCUUAGGGUUGUAAAGCUCUUUCAGGGGGGAAGAUAAUGACUGUACCCCCAGAAGAAGCCCCGGCUAACUCCGUGCCAGCCGCCGCGGUAAUAC